rnacentral:rRNA from 1 species
UGGGGAAUCUUGCGCAAUGGGCGAAAGCCUGACGCAGCAACGCCGCGUGGGGGAUGACGGCCUUCGGGUUGUAAACCUCUUUCGACAUCGACGAAGGCCCUUGGGUUGACGGUAGGUGUAGAAGAAGCACCGGCUAACUACGUGCCAGCAGCCGCGGUAAUACGUAGGGUGCAAGCGUUGUCCGGAUUUAUUGGGCGUAAAGAGCUCGUAGGCGGUUUGUUGCGUCGGCCGUGAAAACCUGCAGCUUAACUGUGGGCUUGCGGUCGAUACGGGCAGACUUGAGUUCGGUAGGGGAGACUGGAAUUCCUGGUGUAGCGGUGAAAUGCGCAGAUAUCAGGAGGAACACCGGUGGCGAAGGCGGGUCUCUGGGCCGAUACUGACGCUGAGGAGCGAAAGCGUGGGGAGCGAACAGG